ACGCUGGCGGCAUGCUUUACACAUGCAAGUCGAACGGCAGCAUAGAGAGCUUGCUCUCUGAUGGCGAGUGGCGAACGGGUGAGUAAUACAUCGGAACGUGUCCGUUUGUGGGGGACAACCACCCGAAAGGGUGGCUAAUACCGCAUAAGACCUGAGGGUGAAAGCCGGGGACCGCAAGGCCUGGCGCGAACGGAGCGGCCGAUGACUGAUUAGCUGGUUGGCGGGGUAAAGGCCCACCAAGGCGACGAUCAGUAGCUGGUCUGAGAGGACGACCAGCCACACUGGAACUGAGACACGGUCCAGACUCCUACGGGAGGCAGCAGUGGGGAAUUUUGGACAAUGGGGGCAACCCUGAUCCAGCCAUGCCGCGUGCGGGAAGAAGGCCUUCGGGUUGUAAACCGCUUUUGUCAGGGACGAAAAGGUGCGGGUUAAGAGCUAGCACUGAUGACGGUACCUGAAGAAUAAGCACCGGCUAACUACGUGCCAGCAGCCGCGGUAAUACGUAGGGUGCGAGCGUUAAUCGGAAUUACUGGGCGUAAAGCGUGCGCAGGCGGUUGGGUAAGACAGAUGUGAAAUCCCCGGGCUUAACCUGGGAACUGCAUUUGUGACUGUCCGACUGGAGUAUGUCAGAGGGGGGUGGAAUUCCAAGUGUAGCAGUGAAAUGCGUAGAUAUUUGGAAGAACACCGAUGGCGAAGGCAGCCCCCUGGGGCAAAACUGACGCUCAUGCACGAAAGCGUGGGGAGCAAACAGGAUUAGAUACCCUGGUAGUCCACGCCCUAAACGAUGUCUACUGGUUGUUGGAGGGUAAAACCUUCAGUAACG
rnacentral:rRNA from 1 species